rnacentral:rRNA from 1 species
CCUGAACGCUGGCGGCGUGGUUAAGACAUGCAAGUCGCACGGUGUAGCAAUACACAGUGGCGCACGGGUGAGUAAUGAAUCGCUAACGUACCCUGGACUCUGGGAUAGCUGCCCGAAAGGGCAGGUAAUACCAGAUAAUAUAACCGAACCGCAUGGUUUGGUUCUCGAAGGUCCGCCGGUCUGGGAGCGGGCGAUUUCGUAUCAGCUAGUUGGUGAGGUAACGGCNCACCAAGGCGACGACGCGUAGCCGGACUGAGAGGUCGGUCGGCCACAUCGGGACUGAGACACUGCCCGGACUCCGUACGGGG